rnacentral:tRNA from 1 species
GAGCAGUUGGCCGAGAGGUUAGGUACCGGGUUCCCGGAUUACACAGGUUCGAAUCCUGUACUGCUCG